CAGAGCUUGACGAAGCAGCAGGAGAAGCUGGCCAAGUUGGCCAAGAAGAGGAAUAUCCCCAUUUCCAGUAUCCAACACGACCUGGAAACUGAUGAUUGUCCAGAGUAAGGACACUGGCCCUGGGUGGUAGCAUCUUCAGGAACACAUCCAUCUUCCUCGUUCAAAGGGAAUCAGCUCUAGGAUGAAAAGCCAUCCUGAACUUUCAACCAUCUUUUCCCCUUUCUUAUGAAGCCAUCAUGCUGAU